rnacentral:rRNA from 1 species
GAUGAACGCUGGCGGCGUGCCUAAUACAUGCAAGUCGAGCGAACAGACGAGGAGCUUGCUCCUCUGACGUUAGCGACGGACGGGGGAGUAACACGUGGAUAACCUACCUAUAAGACUGGGAUAACUUCGUGAAACCGGAGCUAAUACCGGGUAAUAUAUGGAACCGCAUGGUUCAAUAGUGAAAGACGGUUUUGCUGUCACUUAUAGAUGGAUCCGCGCCGCAUUAGCUAGUUGGUAAGGUAACGGCGUACCACGGCAACGAUGCGUAGCCGACCUGCAAGGGUGAUCUGACAAACUGGACUUGAGACACGGUCCAGACCCCUACGGGAGGCAGCAGUAGGGAAUCUCUACCAAUGGGCGAAAGCCUGACGGAGCAACGCCGCGUGAGUGCUGAAGGUCUUCGGAUCGUAAAACUCUGUUAUUAGGGAAGAACAAAUGUGUAAGUAACUCUGCACGUCUUGACGGUACCUAAUCAGAAAGCCACGGCUAAAUACGUG